GACGAACGCUGGCGGCGUGCUUAACACAUGCAAGUCGAACGAAGAGCGAUGGAAGCUUGCUUCUAUCAAUCCUAGUGGCGAACGGGUGAGUAACGCGUAAUCAACCUGCCCUUCAGAGGGGGACAACAGUUGGAAACGACUGCUAAUACCGCAUACGAUCUAAUCUCGGCAUCGAGGAUAGAUGAAAGGUGGCCUCUACAUGUAAGCUAUCACUGAAGGAGGGGAUUGCGUCUGAUUAGCUAGUUGGAGGGGUAACGGCCCACCAAGGCGAUGAUCAGUAGCCGGUCUGAGAGGAUGAACGGCCACAUUGGGACUGAGACACGGCCCAGACUCCUACGGGAGGCAGCAGUGGGGAAUCUUCCGCAAUGGACGAAAGUCUGACGGAGCAACGCCGCGUGAGCGAUGACGGCCUUCGGGUUGUAAAGCUCUGUUAAUCGGGACGAAAGGCCUUCUUGCGAAUAGUGAGAAGGAUUGACGGUACCGGAAUAGAAAGCCACGGCUAACUACGUG
rnacentral:rRNA from 1 species